rnacentral:rRNA from 1 species
UUUUANCUUCUGUUAUCGGGGUGGGACUAAGACAUGCGAGUCAAGCGUCUCUAGCUAUGUAGAGACGCGGCAUACGGCUCAGUAACACGUGGCUNACCUACCCUCAGGACAGGGACAACACCGGGAAACUGGGGCUAAUACCUGAUAGGUGAGGAUGCCUGGAAUGGUUUCUCACUCAAAAGGCUUUGGGAACAUGCUUCCAUUGUCGCCUGGGGAUGGGGCCGCGACCGAUCAGGUUGUUGGUGAGGUAACGGCUCACCAAGCCUUUAACCGGUACGGGCCGUGAGAGCGGUAGCCCGGAGAUGGGUACUGAGACAAGGACCCAGGCCCUACGGGGCGCAGCAGUCGCGAAAACUCCGCAAUGCACGCAAGUGUGACGGGGCUACCCCGAGUGCCGUCCGCUGAGGAUGGCUUUUCCUUGGUUUAACUAGCCAGGGGAAUAAGGAGAGGGCAAGACUGGUGUCAAGCCGCCGCGGUAAUACCAGCUCUUCGAGUGGUAGGGAUGAUUAUUUGGCUUAAAGCGUCCGUAGCCCGGCUUAGCAAGUCUCCUGUUAAAUUCAAGCGACCUAAUCGUUGAGCCCGCGGGAGAUACUACUAGGCUAGGANGCGGGACAGGUCGACGGUACUUNUGGGGUANGGGUGAAAUCCUAUAAUCCCNGGAGGACCACCAAUGGCCAAAG